rnacentral:lncRNA from 10 species
UAUACAUCCGGAGGGGAGCCAAGAUGGCCGAAUAGGAACAGCUCCGGUCUACAGCUCCCAGCGUGAGCGACCCAGAAGACGGGUGAUUUCUGCAUUUCCAUCUGAGGUACCGGGUUCAUCUCACUAGGGAGUGUCAGACAGUGGGCGCAGUUUGGAGUUGUUGCUACCUGUGUCUACCCAGCCAAGGACUUUAUGCCUCAGGCCUUCAUAUUCAGUAUGAUUUUAAGGAAUGUAGUUAUCUGGUCUAGCCUUUGAAAAGGGAUCUCAAAAAUGUUUUAUUUAUGAUAGACAUGUUCUCAAAGGGUCAUUCCACUGUCAAUAUUUAUCAGGUGGUAACACUCUGGACAAUAGUAAUAAUAACCUUUGAAUGUUAGAUAUUAAAAACCAAAAAUAGUACGUAAGCAGUCCUAAAACAGAGGGAAAAGGAAAUAAUACACCAUUUCUCAGUCAUAGAUGUAAUGUUGGAUACUAUUGAAAACUUUCUAACUCUCCUUAAAAGAAGUAACCUCCAUUUUUUGCCUAACUUAUUUCAAGCACAAUUUUAAAAAUAAUAUUUCUCUGAUUACAAAAACAGGACAUGUUUCUCAUGAAAAUUUUGGAAAUGUGAAAUUACAGAAAAGCCCAAAGGAAAACAAUGAAAAUCUCUUGCAACUACAGUACUUAGAAAAAUGCCUAUUAUCAUUUUGUUUUAUAUCCCUGCUGUCUUUAUAUGUACAACUUGCAUUUUGCAAGAGUUUAGAAAGUUGUAACCUUAUUUUUUAAAUCAGUGCAUAACUAAUAUUUUUUAUGCUAUUAAAAUAUUAUUUUAAGAUGUAAUAUCUAAUCACAUGUCUGCAUCAUAAUCUACUUAAUCUCCCCUUGUUCACAAUUAAGUAGUUUCCAAUUUUUCACUAUCAAAGUAAUGCUACAACAAGAAGGAUAUCCUGGUAUAUAAAUAAUUUUACACAACACAGUUAUUUCCUUGACAUAAAUACCUAGAAUAGAAUUAGUCAAACAUAAGAAAUUAAUAUUUAAUACCUCCGAUACAUCCUGCCAUGCUGCCCACAAAAAGACCAUACCAAGUUACACCACCACCGAAAAUGUGUUAAAGGAUCAGUUUGCUCAAAACUUAAAUAAAAUAGAGUAAGUUAUUUUAUAUCUACACAUUUAAUGAGUUGAAAUGUAUCCUCUGCAUUACUUUCACAUGUACUUCUGCCAAUUAAUAUAAAAUUCAUGUGUGCAAAAAUUAAAUAAUAGAGUAACACAUCAUUACAGAUUCCAAAAAAAGCAAAAAAUAUUUACUAAUUGCACAAUUACUAAUUGUAAGUCACUUUUUUGGACAUCUUCCUAAAUAGUAUGUCUUUUCUUUAUAAUAUAAUGUCUUUAUUAAGGGUACACUGAAUUUGACAGUUUGGCCUAAGUGUGACAAACAACUAAUUGAGACUAAAAUACUAUGAAGGCUCUCAAAAUGACAAAUGAUUUCCAUCUGUGUCUCCAUUGUUUCAAAUUUGAUUCAUAUAUUGCUUAUCAGUAACAUAAGUAAUUCUUAUUUUUUUCAUUUCUACUCACUUUUGUGAAAUGAAAAGGACAAAAUAUGAUGAAACAUUCAAAUAAUUUCAUAUACAUUACUAUGUUGAGAGAGAUAGAAGCACUGCUGAAACUGAAAUACAUAUUGGCAGACUAGCAGCACCAACCUACCACAUUUAAAAAUAUUAUUUUACCAUGUGAAUGUUCACAUUAAAUAUAAUAAAGAUAAUUUAGGAAUAUCAAUGUCAUGCCUAGUCAAGUAUAUGAAAGCCAUAUAAUCUCAUUGAUGCUUUAUUUCUCAUAUCUUUGAUUGCUAGCAAUGGUGAGCCCAUUUCCAUAAGUGUUUUGGCCACUGAGGUUCUUUGUGAAUUUUCAAUUCAUGUAUUUUGUCUGUAUUAUGUUGGAAUGUGCAUAAUUUGUUUAUUGAGUUAUAAAUGCUACUUACAUAUUCAGAAUAUAAAAACCAUUAUAGUUGAUGUGAAUAAAAAUACCUAGUUGGCUAAAUGUCUUUAGGUUUUAUGUUGUUUUUUUUAUAAUGGAUCUGCAGACAUUUUUAAUUUUCAUGUAUAUAUUCAAAUAUCUUGAUAUGAUUUGGCUCUGUGUCCCCGCCCAAAUCUCAUGUCAAAUUGUUAGACCUGGUGGAAAGUGAUUGGAUCAUGGGGAUGGUUUCUAAUGACUUAGCAUCAUCCCCUUAAUGCUGUCUCAUGAUAGAAUUCUCGCAAGAUCUGGUUGUUUAAAAGCGUGCGGCACCUCCCCUUCUCGCUCUCUUCAUCUUGCUCCAGUCAUGUAAGAUGCACCUGCUUCCUUUUUGCCUUCUGCCAUGAUUGUAAGUCUCCUGAGGCUUCCCCAGUCAUGCUUCUUGUACACCUCAUGGAACCGUGAGCCAAUUAAACCUCU